rnacentral:rRNA from 1 species
GAUGAACGCUGGCGGCGUGCCUAAUACAUGCAAGUCGAGCGAACGGACGAGAAGCUUGCUUCUCUGAUGUUAGCGGCGGACGGGUGAGUAGCACGUGGAUAACCUACCUAUAAGACUGGGAUAACUUCGGGAAACCGGAGCUAAUACCGGAUAAUAUUUUGAACCGCAUGGUUCAAAAGUGAAAGACGGUCUUGCUGUCACUUAUAGAUGGAUCCGCGCUGCAUUAGCUAGUUGGUAAGGUAACGGCUUACCAAGGCAACGAUGCAUAGCCGACCUGAGAGGGUGAUCGGCCACACUGGAACUGAGACACGGUCCAGACUCCUACGGGAGGCAGCAGUAGGGAAUCUUCCGCAAUGGGCGAAAGCCUGACGGAGCCACGCCGCGUGAGUGAUGAAGGUCUUCGGAUCGUAAAACUCUGUUAUUAGGGAAGAACAUAUGUGUAAGUAACUGUGCACAUCUUGACGGUACCUAAUCAGAAAGCCACGGCUAACUACGUG